AUUAACAUAUUUUUUUCUAAGUAAUGUCUAGAAAUCUUUGUAAUGUAAAACAUUUAAGUAGAUAUUAGUAAUGGAAUAAAUUGUUAUACUGUGACAGUAUAUGAUUCUAUCCAGAAAAAACGAAAUGAUAGUAGUGAUCGAGGAUCUGGAAUAGAGAUUUGUCUUAUUUUAAUCGAGAAAGAGGCGAGGCAGAGACUGGUGAGGCCAUUCCUCGAGAACCACAGUGGAGAUUUAAUAAGAGAGUAAAGAAGAUGAUGCCGACACAAACCAAAAGGUUAAUCCGAUAGAAUGAAAUGCAAAUUAUAAGAUUAGUUAAUUUAAAUAAUUUACAAAAGAUUUUUAUUUAUCUAGUGGCAGUGUUUAUUCCAACAAAGUUGUAUUAUGAUAGGAGCAAUCCAAAACAAAAUUAUUGAUGUUAUAAAAUCGUUAUUUACAUGAAAUAAUCGAGUUGGUCCA